CCUACGGGAGGCAGCAGUGGGGAAUAUUGCACAAUGGGGGAAACCCUGAUGCAGCGACGCCGCGGGAGUGAAGAAGGAGUUCGGGAGGGAAAGCUCUAUCAGCAGGGAAGAAAAUGACGGUACCUGAGUAAGAAGCCCCGGCGAACUACGGGCCAGCAGCCGCGGUAAUACGGAGGGGGCAAGCGUUAGCCGGAUUUACGGGGUGAAAAGGGAGCGGAGCCGGCAGCACAAGUCUGGAUUGAAAUGCCGGGGCUUAACCCCGGAACUUCUUUGGAAACGGUGCAGCUAGAGUGCAGGAGAGGUCAGUUGACUUCCUCGUGUAGCGGUGCACUGCGUAGUUCUUAGGAG
rnacentral:rRNA from 1 species